UCAACCCUCAAGUCUGACUUGGUGUUGAAGGUCAGUUGAGUGAUCAACUCCUUUCAAAGAUAAUGACAAGUGUUGAUGAUACUGUUCAGUACAUUGAGCUUUUUUCAAAGCACGUAUUGUUCGUGUGUCGCAAGACCGGUCCUCCCUUUUAUUUUUCAA
rnacentral:misc_RNA from 1 species